CUCGACGCGCCUUAACUCAGUCGGCGCUGGACUGCCUCGCUGGGCUGGGCCUCUGUCGAAGGAGCAUGAUGCCCAGUCUCUUGCUUGCCAGCCACAGGCUCUGGAACAACUCAAGGAUUUCCUGUCCCUGACUCUGCCACUCCGAUGAGAGAAGCUCAAAUAAUUCUACAGUUGUCUGCUCUACAGUGCCUGGCUCCUCCCUGGAACACAGCUGGGAGGGAUUCUGCGGCAAGAUGGAAAAGCAUUUUAUGUUCAUGUUCAUGUCUUCCCACUUUUUCCUCAGUCGUCUUCUUCUGCCUCUUAAUAUUGGCCAGCACCUGCCCUGCAUUUGACAAACACAAGACCCCAUAAAGAUGCUGGGGAUACCUCAGAAGAUAAAGCCGAUGACUUCUCGUGGCUUACAUUCUAGAUAUUAGAUAAGAAUUCCUAAAAGAAGUCGGGGGGCUGUGGGUGCCUGUAUGGGUAGGUACGAUCCCAGACCAGGCUCAAGAGAGCCCUCUUGGAGAGAUAUUUGGGUUGAGCCUGGAAACGUGAGCAUCGUUCAGGGGAAGGGUUGAGAAGAAGGGAAAGACAGCAGGAAGGAAGACCAUCUAUGUGAGGGCCC